rnacentral:rRNA from 1 species
AGUGAACGCUGGCGGCGUGCUUAACACAUGCAAGUCGAACGAGAACGGAAUAUAGCUUGCUAUAUUUGUCAGCUAAGUGGCGCACGGGUGAGUAAUGUAUAGAUAACCUGCCCUUAAGAAAGGAAUAACAGUUGGAAACGACUGCUAAUGCCCUAUAUGCCUUUAAUACAUAAGCAUGCAAGGGAAACGCUUUAGUGCUUAAGGAUGGGUCUGUAUGGUAUCAGCUUGUUGGUGAGGUAAUGGCUCACCAAGGCUAUGACGCCUAACUGGUUUGAGAGGAUGAUCAGUCACACUGGAACUGAGACACGGUCCAGACUCCUACGGGAUGCAGCAGUGGGGAAUAUUGCACAAUGGACGAAAGUCUGAUGCAGCAACGCCGCGUGGAGGAUGACACAUUUCGGUGCGUAAACUCCUUUUAUAUAGGAAGAUAAUGACGGUACUAUAUGAAUAAGCACCGGCUAACUCCGUGCCAGCCGCCGCUGUAA